rnacentral:ncRNA from 1 species
UCCGACUCAUUGGAAGCCAGUGACCUAUAGCAGUAAUGCUUUAUGGAAAAACCGGAUGAACUGCUGGAAAGCUUCGUUUCAAUAGAAACAUGCCAAUCAGCAGCCAAGCUCCAGAGGCGUCUGGAGAAGGUUCAGAGACUAGAUGGCUCAGCACGAACUUGCUGUGUAAUACAUCAAUAGCGUCCGGCACCCCACCGUAUAAUUUAUUAUUCGAGGGUGAUGAUAUAGUCCACGCCUUAGCGAAAGCUAUGG